GCCCUCGUAGCUCAGUGGGUAGAGCGCCGGACUUUUAAUCCGUGUGUGUCGCGGGUUCAAGUCCCGCCGGGGGUC
rnacentral:tRNA from 1 species